rnacentral:tRNA from 1 species
GUCAGGAUUGUUGAGUGGUCUAAGACAUCAAAUUCAAGUUUUGGUCCUCCUGAGAAGAGCGUGGAUUCAAAUCUCACUUCUUACA